UGCCAACCCUUGGAAGAGCAGACCCUU
rnacentral:piRNA from 1 species